CUGCCUCCAACGAUCUCUAAUCCCGAGCUAACCUAACAACACUAAAGAAAAGGAAAGGAAUGGAGUAAUCUUUAUAGCUUAGUAAGACCGUAUGAAAAUAAUAAGCAAUUUAUCAACUUGCUUCUCAAGGUAAUACAACCAUAUUUGCACUUUUACUUAUGAUCAGGUCAAGCUGUUUUCUCGAGUUAGUCAUUAAAUUAUUUAUAUCUUGAGCUACGGAACUCAAAAUUAAGUUCCACUAAUUUUACUUGAAACUAGACUCACAUAUCUCCUCACCAUAAAAAUUUCAGAAUUUU
rnacentral:lncRNA from 1 species